CCAAUAGCGUAUAUUAAAGUUGUUGCAGUUAAAAAGCUCGUAGUUGAAUUUCAGGCCUGGCUGGACGGUCCGCCCGUCGGGUGAGUACUGUCUGUGGUCGGGUCCUACCUUCUGGCGAAGCGUCAUGGCCUUAACCGGCCGUGGCGGGGAACCAGGACUUUUACUGUGAAAAAAUUAGAGUGUUCAAAGCAGGCAAUCGCUUGGAUACAUUAGCAUGGAAUAAUGGAAUAGGACAAUGGUUCUAUUUGUUGGUUUCUAGGACCGUUGUAAUGAUUAAUAGGGAUAGUUGGGGGCAUUAGUAUUCAAUUGUCAGAGGUGAAAUUCUUGGAUUUAUUGAAGACUAACUACUGCGAAAGCAUUUGCCAAGGAUGUUUUCAUUAAUCAAGAACGAAAGUUAGGGGAUCGAAGACGAUCAGAUACCGUCGUAGUCUUAACCAUAAACUAUGCCGACUAGGAAUCGGGCGAUGUUGAAAAAAUGACGCGCUCGGCACCUCAUG
rnacentral:rRNA from 1 species